AUUUUUUCUGUCUUUCUACAAUACACACCGGAAAGUUUAGCUGUGAACAAAAGGUACUGCCGCCAUAGUACUCCAACGAGUGUUUCUAUGGUCAUGUGGAGAGAGCGCACGUGCUAUCAAAGGCCAUUUCACUUCUCUACAGAGACACUAGCAGUGCACCUCUGCCACGCUGCUGCGGGCUCGGGCGAUGUCGCAGCUGCUCGCUCAAGGGACGGCGCGACUUCAGGGUCGGCUUCAGGUUGGGCGUCACCAGCAUGUCUACAAUGGAUGGAUCCAAAUUCAAGCUAUUUGCUGAAAAUUAGAAUGAUUGGCAACCCAAAAAAAGCUAGAAAGGAGAUCAAAUCUUUUUAUUUUGAGAAGGUUAUUGAUUCUGACUUGACAAAUUAUGAAGUUUUGGUUGAAUCAGUUCUAGUUUAGUACCCGGCACGUUAUUUGGAAGUUGCACAUGUUCAGUACUAUGAUGAUGUUCUCAAAACAUUCCCAGAAAUAAAAUCAGACCAAGAGUUGAUGUCUAUGUUUGAGAAACACAGUAAGACGAAGAUGGUGCAGAUGUUCUUUGCAUAUUGUGACCCCUCUGAACCUUAUGUUCCUAUCAUGGAGUAUGAACAAAUUGGUAUUGAUGUGGUACUGACGAAAAUAGUUAUCUUUGCAACCCAAUACCGGAGAAUGAACAUGUUGGUGUUGAUGAAGAGAGUAUGUAUUUGGAGAAAGAACCUACAUGUCUAAAUGUGGUUCUUUUUCCUAAUAAAGAGAAGGACAAAGACUAUGUUGCUGCUGAUGGGAGCGAGGAUGGGAGCGAGGAUGAUAGCGAAGAUGAGAGCGAGGAUGACAACAAGGAUGAGUCUGAGUUAGAGGAGGAGGAAGAGUUGCAUGAGGCAAAUCAUGCCCCAGAUAUAGAGUAUGAUAAGGAAGACCCAUGUAUGACCGAAGGUUCCACAUAUCCCAAUAUGGAUGAGUUUAAGUUGGCCCUUUCUCAGCAUGCAAUCAAACAUUAACUUGAGUUUAACACAGAGAAGAGUACACCAUGUAGGUUCAGGGGAUAUUGUAAAAGAAGAGAUGAAGAUAAUUGUCCAUGGAGGAUACAUGCUUCUACAACAGAUAAUAUAUGUACUGUAGUGGUGAAAAAAAAAACCUUGUGAUCAUGAUUGCUCUAGUACAAGAAGGAAAAAGAAGGUGAAGAACGCAACUAAGUAUUGGAUAUGUGAGAAGGUUAAGAACUGGCUCAUUGAAGAUGCAACUCUAGGAGCAACGGAAUUGCAAAAAAAGUUUAAAGAACACCACAAGGUCAAAAUCCACUACAAGAGAGUAUAUAUGGGCAAGCUACUAGCCUUGAGGGAACUAUAUGGUGAUUGGGACAGCAGCUUUGACAAUUUGUAUAGGUUUAAAGCACAAGUUGAAAGUUGCUGCCCUGGUAGCAUAGUGCAGAUCGAUCAUCACACGGUAUCUGGUAAAAUCAAGUUUAGAA